UACGUAGGGGGCAAGCGUUGUCCGGAGUUACUGGGCGUAAAGCGCACGCAGGCGGUCUCUUAAGUUUGGAGUGACAGUUGGUGGCUUAACUGCCAAAGUGCUUCGAAAACUGAGAGACUUGAGGGCUUCAGAGGGACACGGAAUUCCGGGCGGAGUGGUGAAAUGCGUAGAGAUCCGGAGGAACACCAAAGGCGAAGGCAGUGCCCUGGGGAGUACCUGACGCUCAGGUGCGAAAGCCAGGGGAGCGAACGGG
rnacentral:rRNA from 1 species